GAUGAACGCUGGCGGCGUGCCUAAUACAUGCAAGUCGAGCGAACGGACGAGAAGCUUGCUUCUCUGAUGUUAGCGGCGGACGGGUGAGUAACACGUGGAUAACCUACCUAUAAGACUGGGAUAACUUCGGGAAACCGGAGCUAAUACCGGAUAAUAUUUUGAACCGCAUGGUUCAAAAGUGAAAGACGGUCUUGCUGUCACUUAUAGAUGGAUCCGCGCUGCAUUAGCUAGUUGGUAAGGUAACGGCUUACCAAGGCAACGAUGCAUAGCCGACCUGAGAGGGUGAUCGGCCACACUGGAACUGAGACACGGUACAGACUCCUAGGGGAGGCAGCAGAAGGGAAUCUGCCGCAAUGGGCGAAGGCCUGACGGAGCAACGCCGCGUGAGUGAUGAAGGUCUUCGGAUCGUAAAACUCUGUUAUUAGGGAAGAACAUAUGUGUAAGUAACUGUGCACAUCUUGACGGUACCUAAUCAGAAAGCCACGGCUAACUACGUG
rnacentral:rRNA from 1 species